rnacentral:rRNA from 1 species
UAAGACGUAGGGGGCGAGCGUUGUCCGGAUUUAUUGGGCGUAAAGCGUGCGUAGGCGGCUGCGCAAGUCGGUUGUGAAACCCCGGGGCUCAACCCCGGAACUGCAUCCGAUACUGCGUGGCUAGAGGUAGGUAGGGGAGAUCGGAAUUCCUGGUGUAGCGGUGAAAUGCGCAGAUAUCAGGAGGAACACCGGUGGCGAAGGCGGAUCUCUGGGCCUUACCUGACGCUCAGGCACGAAAGCUAGGGGAGCGAACAGGAUUAGAU